UCUCUGGCUGUCAUUCCUUUCUAACUCUGGUGCCUCCCCCAUCACACGCACACAGCACACAACCCAAGCUGGAAGGAACCUGGGACUGCAAAGCUCCAGGGUAUCAUGGAACAACAGAACUGUGCGAUAUUAGGGUUCUGAGUGCUCUAAGUCCAAGACCACAUGCUAGCAGGGCUGGGCUCCCUCUGAAGCUUGGGCAGGAAAGUUACACCCCAGCUUCUCCUGGUGCUCCAUGCAUGCUUCCCCAGAAAAGGGAUGGCAUCAUGUUGUUCAGCAGCAGAACCUCUCCUAACCAGACCAUCUGCAGGCAUGGCUGUCCAGGAAGGCCACCAGUGACAGUCUGAAGGUCAGGGCAGCCACAAAACUUUCCGGGUGACACUAUUGAGCAAGUGGUUGUGUCCCCACAAGAGUCCCC
rnacentral:lncRNA from 1 species